GGGUUUUUUUUGGGUAUUAAAAAAAUUAAACUUGAAAUGCCAACAUGCGUCAUCUGAUUGGAGGGAAGUGAAGUGGGCCAAUUUCAUGAAAAAAAAAAAAGUUAUGCAUUUUGAUUCACAUUUGAAGUCUGACUACCAACUUCCUUUGGUGCCACAAAUAUUUCCUACUGGAUGGCUAAUACAUUUAUUAUCAUAUUAUCUGGAUUAAAAUUGUUUCGGUAUGGUGAAAGGAGGGAGACGGUGAUAGUUAUUCUGGUUUUGAUAGUUGAUAAACUGGAAAUUCCAAAAUAUUCAAUUUUUUUUUUAAGCUUUUGUUAGUAUUGUGAUGAGUGCAAUCAAUUCUGAACAAUUCACAAUAAAAAUAGUCAAUAAAAUUUUGAAUUCUGGGAUUUGCCACUGGUAGUACAAUAUUGAUUUUCUGGAAUUCUCCACAAUGCUAAAAUGUCAAUCACUAGAAUUUUUGUCUGAUUGGACAAAAAUGAAGUGGGCUAGGUUUAUGUUAAUCACUUUAAUUCAUCUGGCUAAAUCAGGUGAAGUCAUGAACAGACAUAUUUGUAACCUGGAAAUUCCAAAUUUUUCAUUUUUUUUUUUUUGGAUAGCUACUAUCAAUUACUGAGUUCUGGAAUCAGAAUAUUGUCCGACUGACUGGAGAAAACUGAGGUCCAAUUUACAUUAGUCAUCUGGAAAGAAUUGUUGGCAUAUGGUGUUUACAACAAGUGAUUCUACUAAUUUUGUGUUCCUGCCGACUCAUUCGAUUUAUUGUGCUUGUAUUCUUUGGGUUUGUUGUCUGAUUGGAGGACAGUGAUAUGGCUGGGUUAUGUUAAUCACUUGCUUAAUCAACAUGGCUAAAUAUGCUACUAUCAAUUAUUGAGUUCUGGAAUCAGAAUAUUGUCGGACUGACUGGAGAAAACUGAGGUCCAAUUUACAUUAGUCAUCUGGAAAGAAUUGUUGGCAUAUGGUGUUUACAACACUCUGGAGUUGGAACUUGACCGAAGUCCGUUUUGGUAUACCAAAUAUACCUCUAUUGGAUGGUCGCCAAUUGAUACAGUCCUAUAGUCGUCGAAUUCUAAAGUCGCCGAAUGAUGUAUAGCUUCAGUCGCCGAAUGCUAAAGUGGCCGAAUGAUGUAGUCGCCAAAUGCUAGGGUCGCCGCCGAAUGAAAAAGUCGGCGCCGCAUAACAAAUGCGCCG